rnacentral:rRNA from 1 species
CGAACGCUGGCGGCGUGCUUAACACAUGCAAGUCGAACGGAAAGGCCCUGCUUUUGUGGGGUGCUCGAGUGGCGAACGGGUGAGUAACACGUGAGUAACCUGCCCUUGACUUUGGGAUAACUUCCGGAAACUUGGGCUAAUACCGGAUAGUAGCUCCUGCUGCAUGGUGGGGGUUGGAAAGUUUCGGCGGUUGGGGAUGGACUCGCGGCUUAUCAGCUUGUUGGUGGGGUAGUGGCUUACCAAGGCUUUGACGGGUAGCCGGCCUGAGAGGGUGACCGGCCACAUUGGGACUGAGAUACGGCCCAGACUCCUACGGGAGGCAGCAGUGGGGAAUAUUGCACAAUGGGCGGAAGAAUGAUGCAGCAACGCCGCGUGCGGGAUGACGGCCUUCGGGUUGUAAACCGCUUUCGCCUGUGACGAAGCGUGAGUGACGGUAAUGUGUAAAGAAGCACCGGCUAACUACGUG